rnacentral:rRNA from 1 species
UUUUUGGAGAGUUUGAUCUUGGCUCAGGACGAACGCUGGCGGCGUGCCUAAUACAUGCAAGUCGAGCGCUGGAAGCUAAUUUCAUCCCUUCGGGAUGAAAUUAGUGGAAAGAGCGGCGGACGGGUGAGUAACACGUGGGCAACCUACCUAUAAGACUGGGAUAACUCGCGGAAACGUGAGCUAAUACCGGAUAAUACUUUUUAUUGCAUAAUAAGAAGUUUGAAAGGCGGCGUAAGCUGUCACUUAUAGAUGGGCCCGCGGCGCAUUAGCUAGUUGGUGAGGUAAAGGCUCACCAAGGCAACGAUGCGUAGCCGACCUGAGAGGGUGAUCGGCCACACUGGGACUGAGACACGGCCCAGACUCCUACGGGAGGCAGCAGUAGGGAAUCUUCCGCAAUGGACGAAAGUCUGACGGAGCAACGCCGCGUGAGUGAAGAAGGUUUUCGG